rnacentral:misc_RNA from 1 species
GAUGAAGAACGCAGCGAAAUGCGAUAAGUAAUGUGAAUUGCAGAAUUCAGUGAAUCAUCGAAUCUUUGAACGCAUCUUGCGCUCCUUGGUAUUCCGAGGAGCAUGCCUGUUUGAGUGUCAUUAAAUUCUCAACUCUCCUAUACUUUGGUGUAAAGGAGGGCUUGGAUUGUGGAGGCUUGCUGGCCGCUUGAUGUGGUCAGCUCCUCUGAAAUGCAUUAGCAGAACUGUUUGCGAUCUGCCACAAGUGUGAUAAAUUAUCUACACUGGCGAGGGGAUUGCUCUCUGUGUUCAGCUUCUAAUCGUCUUCAGUGACAAUUUCUUGAAUGCUUGACCUCAAAUCAGGUAGGACUACCCGCUGAACUUAAGCAUAUCAAUAAGCGGAGGA